rnacentral:rRNA from 1 species
ACGUAAUAGAUACCCAGGUAGUCCACGCCCUAAACGAUGUCUACUAGUUGUUGGUGGAGUAAAAUCCAUGAGUAAACGCAGCUAAACGCGUGAAGUAGACCGCUUGGGGAGUACGGUCGCAAGAUUAAAACUCAAAGGAAUUGACGGGGGCCCGGCACAAGCGGUGGAUUAUGUGGAUUAAAUUCGAUGCAACGCGAAAAACCUUAACCUUGGCCUUGUACAUGCCACUAACGAAGCAGAGAUGCAUUAGGUGCCCGUAACGGGAAAGUGGACACAGGUGCUGCAUGGCUGUCGUCAGCUCGUGUCGUGAGAUGUUGGGUUAAGUCCCGCAACGAGCGCAACCCUUGCCAUUAAUUGCCAUCAUUUAGUUGGGCACUUUAAUGGGACUGCCGGUGACAAACCGGAGGAAGGUGGGGAUGACGUCAAGUCCUCAUGGCCCUUAUGGCCAGGGCUUCACACGUAAUACAAUGGUCGGUACAGAGAGUUGCCAACCCGCGAGGGGUAGCUAAUCUCAGAAAGCCGAUCGUAGUCCGGAUUGUUCU